UACGUAGGGUGCGAGCGUUAAUCGGAAUUACUGGGCGUAAAGGGUGCGCAGGCGGUUAUAUAAGACAGAUGUGAAAUCCCCGGGCUCAACCUGGGGAACUGCGUUUGUGACUGUAUGACUAGAGUACGGUAGAGAGGGGUGGAAUUCCUGGUGUAGCAGUGAAAUGCGUAGAUAUCAGGAGGAACAUCGAUGGCGAAGGCAGCCCCUUGGACCUGUACUGACGCUCAUGCACGAAAGCGUGGGGAGCAAACAGG
rnacentral:rRNA from 1 species